UCGGACGUGGUGCGCGGUGCACGCCCUCUGUUUAUACCUCCAGUGACUUGAUUCAAGCGGGAAGCCUGGGUUCGACUCCCAGCGUCCGAA